CACGUAGGCACCAAGCGUUGUCCGGAUUUACUGGGCGUAAAGAGCGCGCAGGCGGUCGGAUAAGUCGAAUGUGAAAGCCCCCGGCUCAACUGGGGAGGGUCAUUCGAUACUGUUCGACUCGAAGGCAGGAGAGGGAAGUGGAAUUCCCGGUGUAGUGGUGAAAUGCGUAGAUAUCGGGAGGAACACCAGUGGCGAAGGCGACUUCCUGGCCUGUUCUUGACGCUGAGGCGCGAAAGCUAGGGGAGCAAACGGG
rnacentral:rRNA from 1 species